rnacentral:rRNA from 1 species
AUAAGUGCUGAAAGCAUCUAAGCACGAAACUUGCCCCGAGAUGAGUUCUCCCUGACUCCUUGAGAGUCCUGAAGGAACGUUGAAGACGACGACGUUGAUAGGCCGGAUGUGUAAGCGCAGCGAUGCGUUGAGCUAACCGGUACUAAUGAACCGUGAGGCUUAACCUUACAACGCCGAAGGUGUUU